rnacentral:rRNA from 1 species
GCGCGGCGAAAAACCUUACACACAGUGUUUUUUGUUAUUACAAGAACUUUUGCUUUGGUCUGGACUAGAAAUAGUUUGGGCCAGAGGUUUACUGAACUAAACUUCAAUAUUUAUAUUGAAUUGUUAUUUAUUUAAUUGUCAAUUUGUUGAUUAAAUUCAAAAAAUCUUCAAAACUUUCAACAACGGAUCUCUUGGUUCUCGCAUCGAUGAAGAACGCAGCGAAAUGCGAUAAGUAAUAUGAAUUGCAGAUUUUCGUGAAUCAUCGAAUCUUUGAACGCACAUUGCGCCCUCUGGUAUUCCAGAGGGCAUGCCUGUUUGAGCGUCAUUUCUCUCUCAAACCUUCGGGUUUGGUAUUGAGUGAUACUCUUAGUCGAACUAGGCGUUUGCUUGAAAUGUAUUGGCAUGAGUGGUACUGGAUAGUGCUAUAUGACUUUCAAUGUAUUAGGUUUAUCCAACUCGUUGAAUAGUUUAAUGGUAUAUUUCUCGGUAUUCUAGGCUCGGCCUUACAAUAUAACAAACAAGUUUGACCUCAAAUCA